AUCAAGGUCCGCCUCGUGAAGAUCAUUUAAAAAAACAACAUCAUCUAAUAAAACAUAAUUGUAAUUAAUAGAAAUUAUUAAUAAAAGUCUAAAGUUCAUUUGUUAAUAAAAUUGUUUACAAUAUUUGUUAUUAAUAUAAACAAAUAAAAAUGACCGGUCCGGUGGAAGAUGUCGGCAAAAUUAAAAGUCGUGAAGAGGCUUUGAAGGAGAUGAAAAUGAUGAUUGAAGAUGCCAAAUACCUUGGAUACAGACUACGUACAGACGAGAGUUAUUUAUCCAGAUAUCUCCAUUGUUGUUCCUGGGACCCA